AUGAAUAUGUUUUAUUCGACUUGAUUCUCAAUGUCUCUAAUUGCAGUAGUUGCUGAAUAGCCAGAAAUCCCUGUAUUGUGUUCAAAACAAUCAUUGGCUUUACUCUGGAGAUCUUUUCAGUUGGCAAUGUGUUACAGAGGGUUCAGUGAGACAGCCUUUAGAAUGGCAUAAAUUGGUUGUAGAAUCCUAGAGAUCUUAUUUUCCGUUCCAUUAGAGGAAAAUAUGAAAUCAGAUCCUUUACAUGGCAUUUGGUUUAUGUGAUUUCCAGUUUCAAUGCUAGGAAAAGUUUCCAAGCACUGUGUGAAACUAUCAUGAAUGCCUUGUCAAGGCUGGAUUUGGCGUGAUCCAUUGAGCAAUACAGGCUCAAAUUCAAAAGGCUUGACACACAGGCUUUUCUUAUGAAGAAAAGCAGAUCAUGUGCAAAUCUAUUUUUUUUCAUCCAUCUCUUCCAAUGGAAAUAAGAUUUGGAUUGAAAACAUGUAGAUGGAUCUUUACACUAUAGAUUUUUGUUAACCAAACUUAUUUCACUCAGAGAUUGCAACAGUCAAAUCACUGUAUAUUCACUACGUUACUUUUUUUGUCUGUUUGUUUGUUUGUUUUUUUCCAGGCAGAUUCACUGCAUGGAAACUGGUCAACACACAUGAAAUAUUAAAAGCAGUAAAGAGGCAGCUGCAGUCCAAGAGUCUGAGUAGUGUAUUCACAAAACAGGAUUCACAAGAUAACUGGCCUUCAUCUUGGUGUUUGUCUAUAUAUUGUGAAGAUAAUGGAAUGUUUCAGAUCACAAAUAACUUCAGAGAAAUCUAGUGUGAUCAUUAAGGACUGUAUGCAGAAAAUGUCAGACUUACAUAGCUGUAGAGCCUCGGCAGGCUUCCACAGCAUGACAGCUUUAAAGCUGAAAAGUCUCAGUGCACUAUCCCAGUGAAACUCAGCCACCAUCUUCCCAUCUGACUGAAUUGAAGCACAGAGGCGCUGUUGAAAUACUACAUUUAAUUCAGGACAUCUCUGUUCUCAGGAAUAAUUCAUAGGGCCACUAAAAGGAGUCAAAAGGGAACCCCAUGAUUUUUUUUUUAUUUUUUUUUUCCUUCUCAUGGUUAAUAUGCUUCAGCUUUGCAUAGUUCCAUAGCAUCCUUGUUCUUUUUGACUGCCACUUACCAAGCUGCAUGCAAUUUAUUCUGCACUGGCACAGAAGCAGUUUGAGAUAUCUCCAUUUUGAUUAUUUUUUUUUUUAAUGAAAUCUAGAAUUAUUUUUAGCUUUCUAUAUUGAAAUACAAUAUUAA
rnacentral:lncRNA from 1 species